GUGCUUGCUUCAUCAGCACAUAUAUAAAAUUGGAAUGAUACAGAGAAGAUUAGCAUGGCCCCUGAGUAAGGAUGACACGCAAAUUCGUGAAGUGUUCCAUAUUUUU